rnacentral:lncRNA from 1 species
UUUGAAACAAAAAUAUUUUCACCAAUGGCAUUUCAUGUAGUUUAUGUGCGUGUAUCCAGAAAAUGGUAAAUACAGUUGUAUAAGCAAAAAAAACAUUAUUCAUAAUCGCCCAUUUCCCUGCCGCACCCUGUAUAAAAAUUACUGGAAUUUUUACAAAAGGUUCAUAGAUGACAUUUUAAUUGUCUGGAAACAACAAGAUAAGAGCAAAGAAUUAAUUCAAGACUUCACUGAUGCUGAAAUUGGAUUAAUGCAGUUCUGUUGACAUACAUUUUCUGGACAUACAAGUGAACAAGAAAGACCAAAAAUAGUUGACAGCAGUGUAUGGAAAGCCCAUGAACAAAAGAAUUAUUAUUCCAAGAUGUCUCUCGACCCAUCAAGAUAUAAAAAAGCUGUCUUCUUCUUCACCUUUGGAAGAGUCAAAACACACUGCAGCUAUCAAGAAGUGAUUGAUAAAGAAAUAAAAAUUAUUUAUAAAACAGGUAAAGAACAUGGUUAUACAAAAAAUACAUUCAAGAUAUCGAGAAUAAAUUAAAUGCAAACUCAAACAUCAGCAGUCAUUCCUCAAACCAUAAUGACUCAUGAACCAAUUCCACACCACACAUCAGCAAGAAAGAGUCUUACCAUACAAUUUUGCUAAUUCUAGAGUAAUAAAAAACUUUAUUAGAAAAAUAAAGUGGACAACAAGUUACAUCCACCAUCCAACAAUAUAUCAACUAAUGUGCAAUAAAAAGGACAGAAGAGAUGUUAAGAUGAAAGAGGGCAUAUAUAAAAUUCCAUGUGACAACAGAAAAACAAACUGUCAAGAAGUUUAUAUGGAGGCAACUAAGAGUGCUUUGGCCAAUAGAAUAAAAAUAACAUAAGAGGAAUGUAGCCAAAGCAAAUUUUGCAACUGCCUUAGCCAGAAUUUCUUAUGAAAAUGAUGUAGGUAUACAAUGGGACUAAGCAAAAAUAAUAAGGGCAGUCUGU